rnacentral:rRNA from 1 species
UACGGGGGGGGGCAAGCGUUGUUCGGAAUUACUGGGCGUAAAGGGCUCGUAGGUGGCCAACUAAGUCAGACGUGAAAUCCCUCGGCUUAACCGGGGAACUGCGUCUGAUACUGGAUGGCUUGAGUUCGGGAGAGGGAUGCGGAAUUCCAGGUGUAGCGGUGAAAUGCGUAGAUAUCUGGAGGAACACCGGUGGCGAAGGCGGCAUCCUGGACCAACACUGACGCUGAGGGAGCGAAAGCCAGGGGAGCAAACAGG